AAAGCUAGCAGCUUACCAGAGAGUAGGUGAUAUGCUUGCUUCCUUUAGCAGAAAGGCUGCUGGAAUAGAACAGUGUCGCAGGCUACCGCUCUAAAUAAACACUUGUGUUUUACCAGGAUGGCUAUUUGAUGCACAAGAAUAUAAUGUAGUGGGCUCCCAACUAACACAGAGGAUCAUUACAGGUGAAUAACAGUUCCAGUUUCCAUUUCAUACAGACAUACAUUCAAUGUUAAAACACUUAUUGUGGGUCUUGGACUCAAAUUGCUGUACCUGAAGGAAUCAGCGAUGACUGCAGCACACGGGAUGCAGAACUUGAGGCA